rnacentral:rRNA from 1 species
UACAGAGGGGGCAAGCGUUAUUCGGAAUUAUUGGGCGUAAAGGGCGCGUAGGCGGCUUUGCAAGUGACGGGUGAAAUCCCACGGCUUAACCGUGGAACUGCCUGUCAGACUGCAUGGCUUGAGACCAGGAGAGGUGAGUGGAAUUCCCAGUAUAGCGGUGAAAUGCGUAGAUAUUGGGAGGAACACCAGUGGCGAAGGCGGCUCACUGGACUGGUACUGACGCUGAGGCGCGAAAGCGUGGGGAGCAAACAGG